GCGCCAGUAGCUCAGCUGGAUAGAGCAACGGCCUUCUAAGCCGUAGGUCGCUGGUUCGAGUCCAGCCUGGCGCG
rnacentral:tRNA from 1 species